UACGGGGGGGGCAAGCGUGGUUCGGAAUUACUGGGCGUAAAGGGCUCGUAGGCGGCCAACUAAGUCAGACGUGAAAUCCCUCGGCUUAACCGGGGAACUGCGUCUGAUACUGGAUGGCUAGAGGUUGGGAGAGGGAUGCGGAAUUCCAGGUGUAGCGGUGAAAUGCGUAGAUAUCUGGAGGAACACCGGUGGCGAAGGCGGCAUCCUGGACCAAUUCUGACGCUGAGGAGCGAAAGCCAGGGGAGCAAACGGG
rnacentral:rRNA from 1 species